rnacentral:lncRNA from 1 species
GGCAAUUGGGCCCUUGACAUACCCAAAUUGGGCCGAAUGGAUCAACCCAUUCGGACAAGAAUUCCUACGAGGCAGUGGCACCGCCAGGGUCGAUGGUGGCACUGCCCAAGAGAGGGUCUCCCAAGAAAGCUGGGCGGUGCAACCACCCUAGGCAAGUAGUGGCACCGCUUGGGCUUAGUCUCCGAGCGAGACUGGGCAGUUCAACCGCCCUUGACAAGCGGUGGCA